rnacentral:lncRNA from 1 species
UUAUUUUUUGUCGGCCAUUUACAAACUGUAAGUAUUGAUUUUAUACAUCCAGACUUUUCAUUUAUUGAUGGAACGAAUAAGAAUUCUUUAAUAAUUGAUCUCAAAGGAAUCUUAUAUAGAAGACGUAGACCUUAGUUAGUCUCUUUAUUCGGUAUUAUUGCGCCAAGAUAUACAUAUUGAACCAAAACCAAAGGGCUGAAUCCCCCUAAAAUUAAUCCAAAAGAGAGGACCCUUAGGCUAUGCGGUAUGUGUAUAUACGCAGCAACAUCCGGUAAGACUGAGGUAAUCUGGUGAUUUUUGCUAAGAGAGUGCACUCUGAGCGUUCAAAUAAUCAUUGAAACAACUGUGUUAGAGGUCCUUAUGUUACUUUUUGCAAUUUGCAAAAUGUCUGGUCCCAUCAAACAUAGUUAUUUUUUCCCCACUGACACGUGCACAUUCCAAUAAACUCAUCAUACAUACCAUGAUUGAAAUUUUGUAUUUGCGCCAGACGCGCGUUUUGUCUACAAAAGACUCAUCAGUGACGUUCGAAUCAAAAAUAGUUAAAAAGGCCAAAUAAAGUAAUAAAUUGAAGCGUAUUGAGGAACAACAACUAUUCAUAAAAGUUUUGCCAAACACAGCUUAGAUUAUAUAUUCCUGAGGUAGGAAAGCCUUAGUAUUUAAAAAAUGUAAAGCUGGUUUUGUGAAAAAGUUCCGCCGUUCACCCUGGUUAACUUACUUUCCAAACUUCCGAAUGUAUUUAUUGGUAUUUUUUCUCGUUACAAAUAUGCAUGAAAUAUUUGCCACUGGAUGUUAUUGAAAUGAAUAUUCAUUGAUCAAUCUUUAAACUGACAUUUGCAAGUUAUGAAUAAAAAAUGUGUAUAUGCGUAUGAUUACGAUCCAAAACGUGAAACUUCUAAUGCAAUGCAAUGCAUGGUACAGGUCUGAUUUGUAUGUAUUUUCUUCAUCAAUCUUCAAAAUAAAUUCAAGGAACAAAUUUAAAAGAAAAUAUAUUGCUUCUUAAAAGAAGCAAAUAUAUUUGACUUUAAUAAAGCAACGAGAUAUAUGUUUUUUUUUUUUUUUUUCAGACUUUACGAUGAAAAAGAAAAAUGCGGAAAAUUUCUUCGAAUGUUUUGGUUUAUUUCUCUAUCUUCCACGUGUCCGUAUUGUUGCUGAUAUUUGCAUUUAAUCUUAGUAUCAACCGAAAUAAAGAGUUAUCCUUUAGAAAAGAAUAUAAGGAGCAAAGAAGCCAAACAUUGAUUGAA